GAAUAGUCUCUUUCCAAAAUCAAUUCUUCUCAAAAUCUCAGAAUCUCCAAAUUGUUUCUUCUCAAAAUCUCAGUUUCUCCAAAUCAUAUUUAUUUUCUCUCUUUUUAUUAUAUCUCUUUUCAAUGUCUUAAUUUCUUCAGCAAAUCUUUAUCAUCACUUUAAUGCUAAGGUUGAAAUCAUUUUGUUGCCCUAAUUUCAGGAAACUAUUCAUACUCUUUAAGAAAUUGCUUCAGGAAAUUGCUCAUACGCUUAAAAAAAUCCUUUGUUUCCAGGUAUGAUUGAAAUCAAUUGAAAUUCUCUUCACCAACGAUAUCACUUUUCAGGUUCGAAUUUGCACUUUCUCUCUCCCUUUAUUCGUCGUUUCGAUGUGUCUUUUCGAUUCUUCGUUCCAAUUCGUUUUUUCGAUUUGGUGUUUCGAUUCAGCUGUCGGAUACAUUUUUUUUUCAGUUCUGUUACACAUAGAUAUAGUUUUUACUAAUUGAGUUUAGUUCUGUUAUAAACUAGUGCUACGAUUUUCGAUUCGUCUUAACCUAUUCUGUUUCCAUUGGAUCUAUGGAUUUUAUGUCCACUGGUUCUUGUUGUUUUUUUCUCAGUAACGAUGAAAUGGAUACAUUUGCAUUAGAGUAUAGUAUAUUGUAUAUGUAACAUUGAGAUUUCUAUGAUUUUGUUGUAAGCCUUGAAUCCUUAUGUAUUAAGUGUUGUAGAUGAAUAAUGUUUCCUUGUUUGAUGCCUUUUUUUUCUUCAAUAUAUUGUGUUCGUUUGAUGAA